GAUGAACGCUGGCGGCGUGCCUAAUACAUGCAAGUCGAGCGAACGGACGAGAAGCUCGCGCCUCUGAGGUUAGCGGCGGACGGGCGAGUAACACGUGGAUAACCUACCUAUAAGACUGGGAUGACUUCGGGAAACCGGAGCUAAUACCGGAUAAUAUGUUGAACCGCAGGGUGCAAAAGUGAAAGACGGCCUUGCUGACACAUAUAGACGGAUCCGCGCUGCAUUAGCUAGUUGGUAAGGUAACGGCCUACCAAGGCAACGAUGCAUAGCCGACCUGAGAGGGUGAUCGGCCACACUGGAACUGAGACACGGUCCAGACUCCUACGGGAGGCAGCAGUAGGGAAUCUUGCGCAAUGGGCGCAAGCCUGACGGAGCAACGCCGCGUGGGUGAUGAAGGUCUUCGGAUCGUAAAGCUCUGUUAUUAGGGAAGAACAUAUGUGUGAGUAACUGUGCACGUCUUGACGGUACCUAAUCAGAAAGCCCCGGCUAACUACGUG
rnacentral:rRNA from 1 species